AAAGAGCUUGGUCCUGGCUUUAUUAUUGGCUCUAGCUAUAAUUAUACAUGCGAGUCUCCGCACCCCGGUGAGAAUGCCCUAAUAGCUCCAUUCUUUGGAGUAAGGAGUUGGUAUCAGGCGCGACCGUGAAGGUCAGCCCAUGACAUCUUGCUUUGCCACGCCCUCAAGGGAAUUCAGCAGUGAUAGACUUUAAGCCAUGAGUGAAAACUUGACUUAGUAAAUGUUUAGAGGGCCGGUCAAACUCGUGCCAGCCGCCGCGGUUAUACGAGAGGCCCAAGUUAAUAAUUAACGGCGUAAAGAGUGGUUAAUAAAGUUUAGUACUAAAGCCGAACCCCUUCUAGAUUGUUAUACGUUUAAUUGAAGGUGGGAAGUUCAGCUACGAAAGUGGCUUUAUACUUAUGAAUCCACGAAAGCUAAGGCACAAACUGGGAUUAGAUACCCCACUAUGCUUAGCCCUAAACAUUGACAACAUAGUACAUCUGUUGUUCGCCGGGGGAUUACGAGCGUUAGCUUAAAACCCAAAGGAUUUGGCGGUGCUUUAACUCCAACUAGAGGAGCCUGUUCUAGAACCGAUAAUCCCCGUUCAACCUCACCCCUUCUUGUUCUUUCCCGCCUAUAUACCGCCGUCGUCAGUUUACCCUGUGAAGGGUCCGUAGUAAGCAAAAUCGGUGUAAACCCAAAACGCCAGGUCGAGGUGUAGCUUAUGAAGGGGGAAGAAAUGGGCUACAUUCUCUGGUACAGAGAAUACGAACGGUGUGUUGAAACUACAUACCUGAAGGAGGAUUUAGCAGUAAGCUGAGAAUAGAGUGCUCAGCUGAAACUGGCCCUAAAGCGCGUACAAACCGCCCGUCACUCUCCCCGAGACUAGUAAAUUUAAUGUAAAUAAAACGUUGUUAUAGUAAAAGGGGAGACAAGUCGUAACAUGGUAAGUGUACCGGAAGGUGCACUUGGAAUAAA
rnacentral:ncRNA from 1 species